rnacentral:lncRNA from 1 species
AACAGAUAAAGUAUUUGAAAUGUGAAGUACAGUUCCUUUGCACAUCUUGCCUCAUGUAAGACCCUGUGAGGGAUACUUAAAAAUCUGUAAUUAAAAGUUGUCUCAGAGUUCCCGUUGUGGCUCAGUGGGUUAAGAACUUGAUGUUGUCUCAGUGAAGAUGCAGGUUUGAUCCCUAGCCUCACUCAGUGGAUUAAGGAUCUGGCAUUGCCGUAAGCUAUGGUGCAGGUUGCAGACGUGGCUCAGAUCCUGUGUCGCAUCUCCCAUUUGACCUCUAUCCUGGGAACUUCCAUAUGCCACAUGUAUGGCUGUAAAAAGAAAAGAAAAGAAAAAAGAGAAGAAAAAAAUAUUGUCUUGAGGUGAAUUUGAAAGUCAGAGUUGUUGGGGUUUUUUUUGUUUGUUUUUUUUUUUUAAAGCCUUUGGGAAUAGUCUACACAAAGCUAAUUUCCAUGUUGGAAAGGCAUGGCAUUGAAGGUAGUGACAGAAGACAGAUAAAAGAAUGAGUGUUAUAAGUUGGCUUCUCUGGAAAUUGAUGCUGAGACAGAGUUUGGGGUGCAAGAUAUUUAUUAGGGCCCAGUACCUAUGAGAAGGGGGGAAGGAAGCAGGAUUGGACAGAAGGAGAAAUGGAACAUAUUGUGAUGAGAUCCAGCAACACCUCAGGCAACCAAAAAGGAAAGUGUAGAGUGAGAACUGCCUGUUAGCAUGGCUUUGCAAUCUGCUGAAUUGGCCAGAUCUUUAUACCCCCACUUUUCUUAGAGUUGCCCUGGGAAGGGCACGACCUUGGGUGAAAUGCCUUUCUACAGCUGAAGCAAAUCCUGAAGGAACUGUAAGCCAAACACUAUCUGCUGAGCACUCUCUCAGCUGCCAAGGCAGCACAUCUUUUCUUGGUGGAGGAUCUGAGUGUUGAUCCUUAUAUCUGCCUUAUUUGAGUGGAGACAAAGUUCUCAACUCCACUUACCUGAAGGACUCUGAUGUAUCUGUUGACUCCAAAGAGGCACACAUCUGAAUAUUGAGAGGGUGGGUGACCCAAUAAGGUCCUGAGUUAGGAUGGAGAGGCUGCUGUGUAGCUUCACAGACAAAUAGGGCCAGUAUCCCCUGGUGAAUGCUCUUUGCAAGAGUAUCCCUUUCCAGCAGCAGGACAUCUAAGACUAGGAGGAUUCUAAGGCCAGUAUAGAUUUGAGAACCCCAUCUAACUACCUAAGCCACACCUAUAUUAUUCCCCACAUCUAGACACCACCUUGAAUUGGAGCAAAAGGAGCCAUGAAGCAUUUCAUUUUACUGGAGUUAACUGGCCAGAAAUUGAAUUCCCUAAAGAGAUUUCAAAUGAUUGGACCAGACUAAAGUUCCAUAUUUAGACUAAAACUUGGUUUUUAAUUUUCCGUCAUCUAGCAGGCAAAGGGAUCAUUGGGGAGAGAACAUAGUUAAGAGGCACUCUGAACCACAUCUGCUCUGCACAUUUGUGUGUGGUGUAAGGACAUUUUGUAUUUGCUGCAUUACCAAAGAAAAACAGGACCAGAAGUUCAUUCCAGAAUUGGAGGACAAAAAUGAGUUCGAUGGAGGGGUCAGGAUUAUGUUUUCUGGGAAGAUACCUUAUGCAAUUCCUAGGUUUGGUGGGUAGACCGUGUAAUUUUUCAUUCUGGCUUACUUCCUUUAUGAAGUUCUGAAAUAUUAGGACCUUACUCAUUUUCACUGGCCAUAAAAAUUAUGUAUUAAACAAAGCUCAAGAUUUAGUAACCUAUAAAUUACUUCUGAUUUCCCCUCUACUCUGAAAACCUACACCCAGCCAAAAAAACAAAAACAAAAACAAGUUGUAAUUGAUCUAGUUGUCCAAAAAUAUUACAAACACCAAAAUCUUUGGCAGCCAGUGACUAAAGAAAAUUAAAUUUUUGUAAAUCUCUUCAUCAGCAGGUAAAAGCCAAAAACAACACAACUGGAACUCGGGGAUCAAAGGUUGGCAAGAUGUGAGAAGCCAGCCAUUUACCGUCAGGAACCCCAGGCACAGUACAAAGUUGAUGGACAGCACUUCAGAGGAGGGAAGCCUGGCCAUCCCUUGGCUGUGUCAGCCCCUUGAGAGGGAAACCACAGAUAAAAAUGACGAACAGGAGUUCCCGUCAUGGCUCAGUGGUUAACGAAUCCGACUGGGAACAAUGGGGUUUCAGGUUCAAUCCCUGGCCUUGCUCAGUGGGUUGAGGAUCCAGCGUUGCUGUGGGCUGUGGAUCUGAGCCACAUCUGUGACCUACACAACAGCUCAGGGCAAUGCCAGAUCCUUAACCCACUGAAUGAGGCCAGGGAUUGAACCUGCAUCCUCAUGGAUACUAGUCACGUUCUUAACCCACCAAGUCAGGAUGGGAACUCCCAAGUUUUAGCUCCAUUUCUAAGUCAGUUUUUCUUUGGAUAAUGGAAUGGAACCUGGAGGAUUUAUUGUGUAACAGUAUCACGUGUACUUGUAGGUAUCCUUCCAACCUCACUAAAAUAUCUGUAAAUGAACCUCCUCUCCUUUUUCCAUCUCCUCUGGAGCUUCAGCAUGUUGCAGAUAAGACAUAUUUUUAUAAUAAUAACAACUGACAUUUAUUGAGCAUUCACUAUAUGCCAAGUACUGUGCUAAGUGACUAUGAUCAUUUUUAAAUUUUAAUUCUUCCCACUUUUCAUGAGAUAGGCAUUAUUAUUAUUAGUCUCAACAUGUACAUACUGCAUUUUAUUUAAAAACUCUAAUUAUUGGGGAAUAAACUGAACAAUUAGCAGAGCUUGCACUCAGCUGGGGAUGUUCAAGUUCCAAUUAACCCAGGUGGAGAGGCAGAGUGGAAAAAGGCCUUGGUGAAUAACUCUUCACUGGCCUGAAACCAGUCCUCAUGAGUUCUAAGGAAGGCGGACCAUGAUAAGGAAGGUACUUCUGACUGCCAGAGCCUAAGACACCCAACUGUACCUGAACUUCAAGGGCAACUGGGAAAACGUCUGUCAUUUUCAACUAAUGUAGUGGCUGGCAGUCUUCACCUCACAAAUUAGGAAAAUUACCCAAACAUAGGAAGGCGGUUCAGAUUCUAGGGAGCCAGAAAGAAUGUCAGAUGUCCGUUUUUGCCCCCAUUCCCUUUCCUGUUAACUGAUUCUUUGCGUGAUACUGAAUUCUCCUCAUAGCUAGGCCCUUGAUAUUUCCUGCUAGACUUCCCUGAUAGCCAUCAAAGUCACAAGAACAAAUCAGGCCAGACCCAACCUUGCAUGUCUACCCAACACUCCCUGCCUGGCCUUCCUUGGUUUGGCUCAUGUGAGAGCUGCCCAAGCCCAGAAUAUAAUGCUCUGCAUUACAAAUCUGUUAAAAAAGAAAACGUGCAACAUGGAAUCUGAAUAUUGGAACCACUGGAGAAACAACCAUGGCACACAUGGUCACCCAACUCCCCAGGAGAGUUAGGGCUGAUUUACUAUGAUAUAGGAGACCUGGGUUACAGACCUUGCUCUCACUUUAGCCAACUCUGUAACCAUGAGGAAGAGACUUCAUUACUUUGGUUUCCUAAACUGUUUUUAAAU